rnacentral:rRNA from 1 species
GGUUAAGCGACUAAGCGUACACGGUGGAUGCCCUGGCAGUCAGAGGCGAUGAAGGACGUGCUAAUCUGCGAAAAGCGUCGGUAAGGUGAUAUGAACCGUUAUAACCGGCGAUGUCCGAAUGGGGAAACCCAGUGUGUUUCGACACACUAUCAUUAACUGAAUCCAUAGGUUAAUGAGGCGAACCGGGGGAACUGAAACAUCUAAGUACCCCGAGGAAAAGAAAUCAACCGAGAUUCCCCCAGUAGCGGCGAGCGAACGGGGAGGAGCCCAGAGCCUGAAUCAGUGUGUGUGUUAGUGGAAGCGUCUGGAAAGGCGCGCGAUACAGGGUGACAGCCCCGUACACAAAAAUGCACAUGCUGUGAGCUCGAUGAGUAGGGCGGGACACGUGGUAUCCUGUCUGAAUAUGGGGGGACCAUCCUCCAAGGCUAAAUACUCCUGACUGACCGAUAGUGAACCAGUACCGUGAGGGAAAGGCGAAAAGAACCCCGGCGAGGGGAGUGAAAAAGAACCUGAAACCGUGUACGUACAAGCAGUGGGAGCCCUGAUUUAUCAGGGUGACUGCGUACCUUUUGUAUAAUGGGUCAGCGACUUAUAUUCUGUAGCAAGGUUAACCGAAUAGGGGAGCCGGAGGGAAACCGAGUCUUAACUGGGCGUUAAGUUGCAGGGUAUAGACCCGAAACCCGGUGAUCUAGCCAUGGGCAGGUUGAAGGUUGGGUAACACUAACUGGAGGACCGAACCGACUAAUGUUGAAAAAUUAGCGGAUGACUUGUGGCUGGGGGUGAAAGGCCAAUCAAACCGGGAGAUAGCUGGUUCUCCCCGAAAGCUAUUUAGGUAGCGCCUCGUGAAUUCAUCUCCGGGGGUAGAGCACUGUUUCGGCAAGGGGGUCAUCCCGACUUACCAACCCGAUGCAAACUGCGAAUACCGGAGAAUGUUAUCACGGGAGACACACGGCGGGUGCUAACGUCCGUCGUGAAGAGGGAAACAACCCAGACCGCCAGCUAAGGUCCCAAAGUCAUGGUUAAGUGGGAAACGAUGUGGGAAGGCCCAGACAGCCAGGAUGUUGGCUUAGAAGCAGCCAUCAUUUAAAGAAAGCG